rnacentral:lncRNA from 1 species
GCCCCACAAUUUGGACAACUGUCUAAGUCUUUAUACUGAUCAUCGCGAUAUAGAAUACAAUAAUUUCUACAUGCGUGGAUCUUCUCAACACAUAUCAUAAGUGGACUGACUAGCUUCUUUGCAUAGUACAUAUUAGCAGGCACUUUGUUCUGCUUAGGAAGAAUGUCUCCAAGUACAUGCAAUAAAUCAUUGAAGCUAGCAUCGGACCAACUAUGUCUAGCCUUUAUCG